rnacentral:rRNA from 1 species
AACGAACGCUGGCGGCAGGCCUAACACAUGCAAGUCGAACGCCCUAGCAAUAGGGAGUGGCAGACGGGUGAGUAACACGUGGGAACCUUCCCUAUAGUACGGAAUAGCCCAGGGAAACUUGGAGUAAUACCGUAUACGCCCGAGAGGGGUAGGAUUUAUCGCUAUAGGAUGGGCCCGCGUCGGAUUAGCUAGUUGGUGAGGUAAUGGCUCAACAAGGCAACGAUCCGUAGCUGGUUUGAGAGAAUGACCAGCCACACUGGGACUGAGACACGGGCCAGACUCCGACGGGAGGAAGCAGUGGGGAAACUUGGACAAUGGGCGCAAGCCUGAUCCAGCCAGGCCGCGUGAGUGAUGAAGGCCUUAGGGUUGUAAAGCUCUUUUGCCGGGGACGAUAAUGACGGUACCCGGAGAAUAAGUCCCGGCUAACUUCGUGCCAGCCGCCGCGGUAA